rnacentral:rRNA from 1 species
CCUACGGGAGGCAGCAGUGGGGAAUUUUGGACAAUGGGGGAAACCCUGAUCCAGCAAUGCCGCGUGUGUGAAGAAGGCCUUCGGGUUGUAAAGCACUUUGUCCGGAAAGAAAACUUCGGGGCUAAUA